UGGAAUGUAGUUCAGUGGCAGAACACUUACCUAAUGUGCUUGAGGCCCUGAGUUUAAUUCUCAGCAUUGCAA
rnacentral:tRNA from 1 species